UGAGGAAACACUUCUGUUACCACAAAUUAUUUCAGUAGCAAAGAAGAAAUGAAAGAAAGUGAAUGUAAUGCUAGGACUUACUAGGAAAGAAACAUUGUGGCAUUUACAAAAGGUCUGCAGGAAGUCUAUAAUGAAGUUUUUUAUGGAAAGUGGGUGUGAAAGACACUGUAUCAGUGGCGAGAUUCUAGGAGUCUCUGAAAGAGGGAGGAAUAUCCAGAAUUCUCUGAACAGGAAGCACUGGACUCAGUGGCAUCAGAAAAAUAUGGACCUAACUACAGGGUCCAGCUUAGCUCAUCCCAAAAGUAAGAAGAAUUUAGUGGAGAAGUCACCAGGGGUUCACUGAAAGGCCACAGUGAAGGCAGUGCCCACUGGAGGACAAG
rnacentral:lncRNA from 1 species